GGGUGGUAAUGCCGGAUGUUCCACAUGAUCGCAUGUGAUUGUGGGAAAGAUUCUAUCGGCGUGGGAUGGGGUCGCGUCCUAUCAGCUUGUUGGUGAGGUAACGGCUCACCAAGGCUUCGACGGGUAGCCGGCCUGAGAGGGCGACCGGCCACAUUGGGACUGAGAUACGGCCCAGACUCCUACGGGAGGCAGCAGUGGGGAAUAUUGCACAAUGGGCGCAAGCCUGAUGCAGCGACGCCGCGUGAGGGAUGGAGGCCUUCGGGUUGUAAACCUCUUUUGUUUGGGAGCAAGCCUUCGGGUGAGUGUACCUUUCGAAUAAGCGCCGGCUAACUACGUGCCAGCAGCCGCGGUAAUACGUAGGGCGCAAGCGUUAUCCGGAUUUAUUGGGCGUAAAGGGCUCGUAGGCGGCUCGUCGCGUCCGGUGUGAAAGUCCAUCGCUUAACGGUGGAUCUGCGCCGGGUACGGGCGGGCUGGAGUGCGGUAGGGGAGACUGGAAUUCCCGGUGUAACGGUGGAAUGUGUAGAUAUCGGAAAAAAAACA
rnacentral:rRNA from 1 species